AACAUUGUAAUGAUGCUCUUCUAACGUGUAAGAAGAUCUUUUCAACUUGAAUAAAAUAUACUUGUUAUGCUUGGCUUCUAAGUUGG